rnacentral:rRNA from 1 species
AGUGAACGCUGGCGGUAGGCCUAACACAUGCAAGUCGAACGGCAGCACAGUAAGAGCUUGCUCUUACGGGUGGCGAGUGGCGGACGGGUGAGGAAUACAUCGGAAUCUACUUUUUUGUGGGGGAUAACGUAGGGAAACUUACGCUAAUACCGCAUACGACCUACGGGUGAAAGCAGGGGAUCUUCGGACCUUGCGCGAUUGAAUGAGCCGAUGUCGGAUUAGCUAGUUGGCGGGGUAAAGGCCCACCAAGGCGACGAUCCGUAGCUGGUCUGAGAGGAUGAUCAGCCACACUGGAACUGAGACACGGUCCAGACUCCUACGGGAGGCAGCAGUGGGGAAUAUUGGACAAUGGGCGCAAGCCUGAUCCGGCCAUACCGCGUGGGUGAAGAAGGCCUUCGGGUUGUAAAGCCCUUUUGUUGGGAAAGAAAAGCAGCAGGUUAAUACCCCGCUGUUCUGACGGUACCCAAAGAAUAAGCACCGGCUAACUUCGUG